AUUGAACGCUGGCGGCAUGCCUUACACAUGCAAGUCGAACGGCAGCACGGGAGCAAUCCUGGUGGCGAGUGGCGAACGGGUGAGUAAUAUAUCGGAACGUGCCCGGUCGUGGGGAUAACGUAGCGAAAGCUACGCUAAUACCGCAUACGAUCUAUGGAUGAAAGCGGGGGAUCGCAAGACCUCGCGCGAUUGGAGCGGCCGAUAUCAGAUUAGGUAGUUGGUGAGGUAAAGGCUCACCAAGCCGACGAUCUGUAGCUGGUCUGAGAGGACGACCAGCCACACUGGGACUGAGACACGGCCCAGACUCCUACGGGAGGCAGCAGUGGGGAAUUUUGGACAAUGGGCGCAAGCCUGAUCCAGCAAUGCCGCGUGCAGGAUGAAGGCCUGGUGUAA
rnacentral:rRNA from 1 species